CCUUAUCACUCUUCUGCUCCAGCCCUGAGGUUUUAUUCCGCUGGACGGAGGACUGAUAAGUGU
rnacentral:pre_miRNA from 1 species